rnacentral:tRNA from 1 species
UUCUCGUUAGUGUAGUGGUAAGUAUCCCCGCCUGUCACACAGGAGACCAGGGUUCAAUUCCCUAAUGGGGAG